GCCACUCCUGGCUGAAGUGGGGCAUGGGGCGCGUUCCCUCCCUGGGAGGCUGCUUGUGGCUGGACGGGCGUGUCUGCAUGGAGGGCCCUGUUCCAAUUUUUCCUUUCAUUAUUUUUCCCCCCUGCUCUACAUUUCUUAAGAAUUUACAGACUGCCUGGCUUUUAGCAAACAUGAGUGCUGAGCUUAGAAGUGCUGGCCAGAAGUGCUGGCCAGUGAGGGAGUCUCUAGUGCCCUUCUGGAUAUCUCGGCCUGUUAUGCUGCUGCCCUCAGCGGCAGGCAUCCUCCCUGUCCUGGCCUCCCUGCCUUGAAGUUCACAGGGGCUCAGGACAGUCGGGCUGCUGCACCAAGAAGAUGAUGUCUGAGAGGGGAAUUACUUCUGAAGAGAAAAAAAGGUAGGGAGAGAAAUAGAGGUUGCCUCCUACAGAGCAGAAGUUUAUUACCAUCUUAAUGACUAAAAAAGGAUUAGAGGAAAGGGGCACAUUUCACCCCACCCUAUAAUAUAUCGAAGCCAUAGAGUCUCUUACUGUGUAAAUUAAAGGUAAUAUUCUUGAAGGCCCAAGCAUGGGCAUCUUUUCUUAGCUCUUGACUUUAUCUGGAGUAAAAACUAAUUCAGUACAAACUCAGAAAAUCUUUAGUUAACACAGGGGCAGAAUCCUAUUACAAUAAAAGAAAAGCUAACCUUGUUUCAAUGCAAGUUUAUAAAUGCUCUAAUUAUAAAUGUGCACGUGGCAAAAGAGCAGGUUUUACAUGUGUGAGCAAUUUAUGCAUGUGAAAUCAGCUAGGCAAC
rnacentral:lncRNA from 1 species